AGGAGGAACAGCCCCAGUGGCGGGGCAGCUCUGGAAACCUGGAUUCAGCUCCGGCAGGAACUCCGGAGCUCUCCGUCUGCAGGGCCUGGAGGCUCCGGGGCGGG
rfam:Canis lupus familiaris chromosome 1, whole genome shotgun sequence.